UACAGAGGGGGCGAGCGUUAAUCGGAAUUACUGGGCGUAAAGCGCACGUAGGUGGCGACGUAAGUCGGGUGUGAAAGCCCCGGGCUCAACCUGGGAAUUGCAUUCGAGACUGCAUUGCUGGAGUACGGAAGAGGAGGGCGGAAUUCCCGGUGUAGCGGUGAAAUGCGUAGAUAUCGGGAGGAACAUCAGUGGCGUAGGCGGCCCUCUGGUCCAGUACUGACACUCAAGUGCGAAGGCGUGGGGAGCAAACAGG
rnacentral:rRNA from 1 species